rnacentral:rRNA from 1 species
UACGAAGGGGCUAGCGUUGCUCGGAAUCACUGGGCGUAAAGCGCACGUAGGCGGAUUGUUAAGUCAGGGGUGAAAUCCUGGAAGCUCAACUCCAGAACUGCCUUGAUACUGGCGAUCUUGAGUCCGGGAGAGGUGAGUGGAACUGGCGAGUGUAGAGGUGAAAUUCGUAGAUAUUCGCAAGAACACCAGUGGCGAAGGCGGCUCACUGGCCCGGUACUGACGCUGAGGUGCGAAAGC